rnacentral:rRNA from 1 species
AUUGAACGCUGGCGGCAGGCCUAACACAUGCAAGUCGAACGAGUGGCGGACGGGUGAGUAAUGUCUGGGAAACUGCCCGAUGGAGGGGGAUAACUACUGGAAACGGUAGCUAAUACCGCAUACCAUCGGAUGUGCCCAGAUGGGCUUAGCUAUUAGGUGGGGUAACGGGUCACCUGGGCGACGAUCCCUAGCUGGGCUGAGAGGAUGGCCAGCCACACUUGAAAUGAGACACGGUGCAGACGCCUACGGGAGGCAGCAGUGGGGAAUAUUGCACAAUGGGCGCAAGCCUGAUGCAGCAAUGCCGCGUGUAUGAAGAAGGCCUUCAGGUUGUAAAGUACUUUCAGCGAGGAGGCGUUACUCGCAGAAGAAGCACCGGCUAACUCCGUGCCAGAAGCCGCGGUAAUUC